rnacentral:rRNA from 1 species
GACGAACGCUGGCGGCGUGCCUAAUACAUGCAAGUAGAACGCUGAAGAGAGGAGCUUGCUCUUCUUGGAUGAAUUGCGAACGGGUGAGUAACGCGUAGGUAACCUGCCUUGUAGCGGGGGAUAACUAUUGGAAACGAUAGCUAAUACCGCAUAACAAUAGGUGACACAUGUCAUUUAUUUGAAAGGGGCAAUUGCUCCACUACAAGAUGGACCUGCGUUGUAUUAGCUAGUAGGUGAGGUAACGGCUCACCUAGGCGACGAUACAUAGCCGACCUGAGAGGGUGAUCGGCCACACUGGGACUGAGACACGGCCCAGACUCCUACGGGAGGCAGCAGUAGGGAAUCUUCGGCAAUGGGGGCAACCCUGACCGAGCAACGCCGCGUGAGUGAAGAAGGUUUUCGGAUCGUAAAGCUCUGUUGUGAGUCAAGAACGAGUGUGAGAGUGGAAAGUUCACACUGUGACGGUAGCUUACCAGAAAGGGACGGCUAACUACGUGCCAGCAGCCGCGGUAAUACGUAGGUCCCGAGCGUUGUCCGGAUUUAUUGGGCGUAAAGCGAGCGCAGGCGGUUUGAUAAGUCUGAAGUUAAAGGCUGUGGCUCAACCAUAGUUCGCUUUGGAACUGUCAAACUUGAGUGCAGAAGGGGAGAGUGGAAUUCCAUGUGUAGCGGUGAAAUGCGUAGAUAUAUGGAGGAACACCGGUGGCGAAAGCGGCUCUCUGGUCUGUAACUGACGCUGAGGCUCGAAAGCGUGGGGGAGCGAACAGG